rnacentral:rRNA from 1 species
UGGAUACGAUGGCUCAGAUUGAACGCUGGCGGCAGGCCUAACACAUGCAAGUCGAACGGUAACAGGAAGAAGCUUGCUUCUUUGCUGACGAGUGGCGGACGGGUGAGUAAUGUCUGGGAAACUGCCUGAUGGAGGGGGAUAACUACUGGAAACGGUAGCUAAUACCGCAUAACGUCGCAAGACCAAAGAGGGGGGACCUUCGGGCCUCUUGCCAUCGGAUGUGCCCAGAUGGGAUUAGCUAGUAGGG